rnacentral:rRNA from 1 species
CGGGGCUUAAAGUCUUGUAAUUGGAAUGAUGGGAAUUUAAACCUCUUCCAGAGUAUCAAUUGGAGGGCAAGUCUGGUGCCAGCAGCCGCGGUAAUUCCAGCUCCAAUAGCGUAUAUUAAAAUUGUUGCAGUUAAAAAGCUCGUAGUUGAAUUUCUGCUGCAUUGCUUGUGUCCCUCUGGGGUCUGUGCAUGUGGCUUUUUUCGGACGGAGUUUCUUUGUCUGAAUCUUUACUUUGAGAAAAUUAGAGUGCUCAAAGCAGGCUUUCGCCUUGAAUAGUUUAGCAUGGAAUAAUAAAGUAGGACUUUGGUUCUAUUUUGUUGGUUUUAGGUACCAAAGUAAUGGUUAAUAGGAACAGUUGGGGGCAUUCGUAUUUAACUGUCAGAGGUGAAAUUCUUAGAUUUGUUAAAGACGAACUACUGCGAAAGCAUUUGCCAAGGAUGUUUUCAUUAAUCAAGAAC